GAAUCCCCUGGAGCUCAACUCCCUGGAAUAAAUCAAGUCAGACAGGAGACACCAAGACAGAACUCCAUCACAUCGAUAUCAUAUAGAUUCCAAAAUACCCGCGUGAUCCUAAAAAAAAUUGAAUGAACAUUUAAGUGGCUUUCAUGACAAUAUUGGAAGGCUGACAUUUAAGUGGUGGGUAAUGAGACAUAGCGAAUGAAACGAGAAAACUAACAUGACAUUGAUAGUAAUGGUAUCUAGGAAAAUGGUAAUCUUGCCUGUGAUCCCGCUUGAAAGAAGAACGAAUUCAUAAAGUAGACAAACCACGUAGUCGAACGAAUCCUCACACUUCAAAGCGGUUCGGAACUCCACCAAAAAGAAACAAUCAGGAACAAACAAUCAACACGGCCAGAUCGCGCAAAACGGCAGCCUUUCUUGCAUCGUCCUUUUACCGGCUGCUCAGCUGGGACGGAAUGGAAUGCUGGAUGCUCAGCUGGGUGAGGUCCGAGUUGGUUAAAAAGACUUAUUCAGUACAGC
rnacentral:lncRNA from 1 species